rnacentral:tmRNA from 1 species
GGGGCCGUAAAGGUUUCGACGGGGAUUUUGAAGCCCGUUAAGCACGCAGAGUUCGCCUAAACUCUUAAAAAAUGGGUAACUUAAAAUUAAACGCAGAUAAUAGAUCUGAAUUAGUAGCUGCCUAAGUGCAGCUUCCGUCCUGCCGAUGAGUGCUGCGGCUUCGGUUUGGGCGUGACACAGCAGCCAACGUCUUGGGCAAGAGUCCUGUAGCCCCUGCCGUAACUAAAGGACUGCCGACGGAUGAUCCUGUUAAUCGGAGCAGCCGAAGGGAGAUUUAAAAGAUUGACUAAGCGUGUAGAAAGGCGAGUGGAUUGGUUUUCGGACGGGGGUUCGACUCCCCCCGGCUCCACCA